CCACCGGUAGCCUAGUUGGUUAGGGCGUUAGCAGUACUGAUGCCGAAGGUCGCAGGUUCAAAUCCUGCCUGCGGUGGA